rnacentral:rRNA from 1 species
AGCGAACGCUGGCGGCAGGCCUAACACAUGCAAGUCGAACGAACUCUUCGGAGUUAGUGGCGGACGGGUGAGUAACACGUGGGAACGUGCCUUUUGGUUCGGAAUAACUCAGGGAAACUUGUGCUAAUACCGAAUGUGCCCUUCGGGGGAAAGAUUUAUCGCCAUUAGAGCGGCCCGCGUCUGAUUAGCUAGUUGGUGAGGUAACGGCUCACCAAGGCGACGAUCAGUAGCUGGUCUGAGAGGAAGACCAGCCACACUGGGACUGAGACACGGCCCAGACUCCUACGGGAGGCAGCAGUGGGGAAUCUUGCGCAAUGGGCGAAAGCCUGACGCAGCCAUGCCGCGUGAAUGAUGAAGGUCUUAGGAUUGUAAAAUUCUUUAACCGGGGACGAUAAUGACGGUACCCGGAGAAGAAGCCCCGGCUAACUUCGUG